rnacentral:snRNA from 1 species
AGUUUAGAUAGAAUUUGCUUUCUUGCUCUAUUCGAAGGUUUGGACACCUACACAAUGUAACAAUAUUUCUGUAUUGAUUGAAUCAUUAAUAUGCCCCCAGUUUUAGACUGAUAGGAACAGAUACUACACUUGAUCUUAGCCAUAAGGCUGAGAAGCAAU